GAUGGACGCUGGCGGCGUGCUUAACACAUGCAAGUCGAACGAAGCACUUUUUAACUUUCGGGUUAAAAAGUGACUUAGUGGCGGACGGGUGAGUAACGCGUGGGUAACCUGCCUUAUACAGGGGGACAACAGCUGGAAACGGCUGCUAACACCGCAUAAGCGCACAGUGUCGCAUGACACAGUGUGAAAAUAUUUAUAGGUAUAAGAUGGACCCGCGUCUGAUUAGCUAGUUGGUGAGGUAAUGGCCCACCAAGGCGACGAUCAGUAGCCGGCUUGAGAGAGUGAACGGCCACAUUGGGACUGAGACACGGCCCAAACUCCUACGGGAGGCAGCAGUGGGGAAUAUUGCACAAUGGGGGAAACCCUGAUGCAGCGACGCCGCGUGAGUGAAGAAGUAUUUCGGUAUGUAAAGCUCUAUCAGCAGGGACGAUAAUGACGGUACCUGACUAAGAAGCCCCGGCUAACUACGUGCCAGCCGCCGCAGUAAAAC
rnacentral:rRNA from 1 species